rnacentral:lncRNA from 1 species
GUAAUGGCCAGCUGCCAAAAUACAUCGUAAGACAAGAAAACUAGUCAGGUACAUAACACCAAGCAGCCAGCAUAAAGAAGGUCAAAGGUGACCACUUGGUCCACAUUAUAUUGGCAUCUAUUCCAUCACUUCAAGAAAGAGGGAAAGGUACACAGAAAAAAAUAAGUAAACAUUUAAUAACCCUCAAACUUUUAUGUAACCAUCUCAAACGAGAAUAAUUAUUUGUUACAGUUUUGAAAUGGUACAAAACUUUAUAUCAUGCACAUCACCAGCAACGAUCUCCAUACAAUUGUCAGAAAAAAAAUGAAACCCAUGACAGAACAUAAAGGAUGUUGCAUGAAAAACUGUAGCCAUCAAUGGGAAUCUGUAGCCAUCAUUCUUAGCCAAAAAAAAAAAAAAAACUGUAGCCAUCAAUAGGAAGCUGGCAACACGGAACUGCGAGUUCUUGCUUGCCAGGCUUCAUACACCAAGUCCAUGCAAAGCAGUGAUACACCGAGCAGGUGGAAUGCAAGUCAAGACUCUGGUCUGGACUCUGUUUCUAGCCUCUGACGGAUGUUACGGCGCAACAUCUCCAUGUACUCCUGCAAAAUUAUAUUUCUUUGGUUUGAGUCCAAGAGGCUAACGAAAACAAAUGAUGCAAAGAUCUUUUCCCGCUUCACGUUUUUGGAAACA